CCAGAUAGCUCAGUCGGUAGAGCAGAGGACUGAAAAUCCUUGUGUCGCUGGUUCGAUUCCGGUUCUGGCC
rnacentral:tRNA from 1 species